UCGCGUUCUUUCAGCGAUCGGCCGCGUGUCUGGGAAGCGUGGCGCCACGGUUGGGCGCAGCACCGCUGAGCAGCCCUCUAGGCUUUGGGUGAUGAUAAGGUUGCGGAGGUGGGAAAACGGGGCUUUCUUCAACACCGGGGUAGCACUGAGAGGCGAAGUGGUGACCAUCAGCCCGGCCUCCCUCUCACGGAGUGGUGGUAGGGUUGAGGUUCUGUACGAGGAAAUGCCUCCCAAACGGCGAGAAAUUGGGAAGGACGAGAGCUGAACCCCGUUUUUGGCGUCGCAGGGUUCCUCCUGGGAGAGGGAGGUCCUUGCAGUUUGCGCGACCCCGUGCGUCCACCUUCGUGCUGAGCACGCGCGCCCGGCGGCCCUGGGCCUGUCGGGCUCCCUGUCCACCUGUGGACAGGUUAGGCCCGGGGGCAGGCUAGGCGCGUGGCACUGCAGCAUUCGGCCUCGGGAGUGUGAGCGCGGGAAUGCACCCUUGCCCUGAGAGCCUUGAGAACACCCAGGCAGUCGUUUUUAUUUACUAAUGGUAGUGAAAGGGAUUGUAGACUUUGGAAAUCUGGUUAUACUAUUUUUUUCUUACCAGUACCAGGGAUUGAACCCAGAGGGAUUUACUAUUGAGCUACAUUAUUUUAGCUUUUUUUAUUCACUCGUUUUAAAAUUUUGAGACGGGAUCUUGCCAAUUCGCAGAAACUGACCCGAAUUUGCCAUCCUACUGCCUUAACACCGCCCCACCCGCCUCCUUCGCUGGGAUUAGCGUUGUGCGCCAUCGCGCCUGGCUGGAAAUCUAGUUUUGAUAACGAAACUUUGUUUCCAUUUUUGAAAGCCUUUCUCUAGCUUCUGGGGAGAUGAGAAGCAGAGCUGCAGGUUGCAGUUUAAAAGUAACGGAACCGCAAAAUGAGAAGAGAUGGAUGCAAGCAGGACCUGGGGGUGGUCACCAGAAAGCAGAGAUGGCGUGAUGUCCCGGCACAUCCACCUCAUAAGUUGUUCGAAGUUAAGUUGAACUAUCCAUGGUAUUGGCUGUGGACUUGUGAAACCCAUCAUCUUAAAAUAUUGACCUUAAGAAUUUUUGUGAUGAAAUUUCUGUAAAUGGUGCAGUCUCUGCUUCAGUUGGAAAAGGACCCUCUAGCAGCCACAUUGUGGCAGGCACCAUGGACCUGAACCCCAAGUGGAAUCUCUCAUGUAAGCAGAGAAGUCCUGCUGCACAUGCUUGGGUGAAGGGUAUCUACUCAGCGAGGUUACUAACUGUAAACUGCUUUACCAGAAGGCAAGU